CUCAUUCUCAAUUCUCUUCGAACAAAUCUCAAUUCUUCUCUCCUCUGUGACCUAACUUCUCUUCAAGAUGCAAAUCUUCGUUAAAACCCUCACUGGAAAGAUCCAGGACUUUAUUGAUGUUAUGUAAAGUAAAGGGUUAAAUUUUCGGUCGGAAAACACUGAAUCACAUUCCGGUAAUUAUCCUGGAUCUUGCGACCGCAGUGAAUCACAUUCCGGUAACAGCUACAAGAGGGUUUAAUGUUCCUAACAAGAAAGAGGUUUAAGCCAACAAUUCCCCAAGCUGAGCGCCACCACCCACCAGCAUUCAGCCCACCACCGACGACGACGGCGUCCACCAACUACAGUCGGCAGCUUAGCACCACCACACCAGUCACCAACAUCUCUAUUUUAGGUCAUCUCACUUUUUCCUUCUUUUUUAUAAACUCCCAAUUUUGGCUCUAUUUUGAUUACUAUAUUAAAAUUGAAAUUAUUUUAGAUUUUAGGUUUUCGCUAUAAUAUCAUUAGGGUUUGGAAUUUUGUUCUAAUCUGGAUGAUUAUUGUAUAAUUUUUAGCUUCUGAUUUUGAAACUCUAAUUGGAGUAAAAUUGAAAUUGAUCUCUAUUUUGCAAAGGUGAUUGAAAUUGUAUAAUCUUGCUUAAGCUUCUCAAAUCAAUUUUUAUUGUGUAAUUGAAUCAGGAUGGUUAUUUAGAUAAUUCGAUCUUCGUGUCUGUACUCCAAAAUUGAUUUUACCUUUCAAAUGUCUUAUUUCUUGUUUUUUCAACAAAUGGAAAAUAGAGCAUUUUCUUAGUAAUUUUGGUUGCUACGAAUAUUUUUAGUGUAACUUCUUAUUGAAUUUAAUAUUUAAUUAUUUGAGAAAAAAUUGUGCCCCAAUGAAUCAAUGAUAUUGUUAGUCCAGGUCCGCCCUUGAUUGUUAAGUAUGUUCAUAAACUACAAAUUUAUAUUCGAUUAUUACAAAUAUCUAUUAGGAAAGCUUGAAAUGAAAAAUUUGGAGGUUAUCAACAUUGGAUUUAGUAAAAUUACUUUGCAUUCAAGCAGUUCGGAAAUUGCCCCAGUUGAUUUUUGAAUAUUUGGGAGGAUUCUUAUCGUUUGUCAAUUCUGAUUUUCUUUCUUUUAACUUAUAAACUACCUACAUCAUCUUGAGCAAGCACAGUCAAGACAUCAGUGUCCUUGUCAUGUCCAAGACCAAGAGCCAGAUGAGUGUAGGGACAAGGUGGAUAAUGGUUGAGUCUUAUGUUGCUGGUGUUAUGUAUAAAGAAGUCACGGACCCUAUUUGAUACUAAACUAAUAAGUUCCAUAAAUUUAUAUGCAAUUUAUAUGCUAGUUUCUCCACUUCUGCAUAUUCUUGGCAUGCUUCCCUGUUAGUAUUAGAAAAAGUGGGGAUGGCAUGGUUGUAAAAUUCAUUUUAACCCAAGGGUAUUUUGGUAAUUUCCACAAAUUGAUGGGGUGGCCAUGGCCAUCCCCUGUCCUCACGUGGCUCCGCCACUGGGUGGGUGGUGGCGCUCAGCUUGGGGAAUUGUUGGCUUAAACCCUCUUUUUUGUUAGGAACAUUAAACCUUCUUGUAGCUGUUACCGGAAUGUGAUUCACUACGGUCGCAAGAUCCAGGACAAUUAGUUGUUACCGGAAUGUGAUUCACUGCUUUCCAACCGAAAAGCAGUGCAAAUCUUUGUCAGAAGAUUAAACCCUCUUGUAGCUUAAAUUUCCUGACUUUACAUUUGCCAAUUGCCACCACAUGUUAUGAUGUAUGAUUUUACCCGUUGAUGGUUUUUGUGAAUAAUGAAUUUAGUUCUUCGUAAUUCAUGUUUUAUAUUGCAUUUA